AUUGAACGCUGGCGGCAGGCCUAACACAUGCAAGUCGAGCGAGCGGCGGACGGGUGAGUAAUGUAUGGGGACUGCCCGAUAGAGGGGGAUAACUACUGGAAACGGUAGCUAAUACCGCAUACUAUCGGAUAACCCAUAUGGGAUUAGCUAGUAGGUGAGGUAAUGGCUCACCUAGGCGACGAUCCCUAGCUGGUCUGAGAGGAGGACCAGCCACACUGGGACUGAGACACGGCCCAGACUCCUACGGAGGCAGCAGUGGGGAAUAUUGCACAAUGGGCGCAAGCCUGAUGCAGCCAUGCCGCGUGUAUGAAGAAGGCCCUAGGGUUGUAAAGUACUUUCAGUCGGGAGGCGUUACUCGCAGAAGAAGCACCGGCUAACUCCGUGCCAGCAGCCGCGGUAAUAC
rnacentral:rRNA from 1 species